rnacentral:lncRNA from 1 species
GCCUUUUCUUACAUAAUCAGCCUGUUGUUUCUAUUCCUCGUAGGACAUUUCACUUUCUGUCAAUAAGCAUUUAUCUCCAUGUUAACUUGGUGUAAGGUAGUCUUGACGAUGUGUUGAGGCGGUCUGCUCAGUGUAAGAACAAAUAAUUGGCCGCUCCCAUUUGUAUCUCAUUUUGUAAUCAUUGCAAGCUAUGCCUAUGUCAAUAUCUAAAUGUUUUUGCUGUUUUUUUCUCCUCCUUAAAUCAAUAUUUUCUUUUGAUUUGUAGGACCGUUAGUAAGGUUGCUCAUCGGCAAGUGAAAGAGCUUUGUGCAUUCUUGCAUGACUAAGGAAGAAAUUUGUUAUUUUAAGUAUGCACUACAGAUAUUGCAAGGUAUUUCUGUUACCAGAUUCAUAUUUAUUGGGACCUAUGUAUAGAUAAUAAUUCUUAGUUGCAGUUAUUUUUGUCCUAAAUAGUGGUUCCUUGGAAAGCAGUUUAAUUUCUUGCAUUGAUUCCUCAUGCUAUAAGCCACACCUUUCCUAUUUUGUUAAAGAAGUGAAUUCAUUCCUAAACUUACACCACCAGUCAGCCUAGCCACUAGGCCAGGCCAUUCAAGCAAACUCGUUGCCACUACAGUUCAGUCAUUAACUAUGCCUGCGACUAAUUCUAAUCAACAGGACCAAAAACUAUGAGAGGAAUCAAAGGCACGCAUCUGACCUGAGGUACACGCACCAAUUGAAAUAAGAGGUGAUAAUGUUAUCAUAUAGCUAUACUUGAUUUAUUAUUAACUUAACGACCAACCUGGACGGUAAAAUUUACUUCACUUGGGUAACAGGAGUUGGACACCGAAAGCUUGUUCAAUCAUUUUAAAAUAUUUAUCUUUGUUGUUCCGCUUAGCUAACCAUCCUUAAGUGUUUUUUAUAGAAUCUAUAAAAACAAAGUGCUUUGCUUCUUUCCUUGCUUGGUUCAAGUCCAGUUUCUUUUUUUUAGAUUUUGUAGUAGCGGAGAUGUGUAUAAUAUGGAUAGCUGAAUUGGUGUUUAGGCGCUUCACUGCAGGACUGCUACUUGCUCGAUUAGUUAGAUGAACUGGUGUUUAGAGAUUUCAAUGCGAAGUGAUGUUUCGGUUUCGAUUGCAGGGCUUCGAGAUGCACCAUCAGGGCUGAAACGAGUCUUAUACCGGCUGCAAAAUUAUUAUGCUUUUGGGUCUUUCCUGAAUUUAGUUAGCAAUAAAUACUUCUAGAAUCCCUCUUGCAAUAUGUAAGUCUGUUGGUAAUGACAUUGAUUUUGCCAGUUUGUUCUGCCAAACAGAAUGUGCGACAUGCUUCAUUUUGCAGGUAAAAGAAGGAAAAGAGAGCAUUGGAGCAAAAGUCAGCAGGGUGGAUUCUCUAAGUUUUCUCAAAUGUUUGAACAAGGAAAAGAUAGUUACAAUCAUUUUUCUCUCUCUCCUUAUUACAUCUUGAUGUUAAUAGUCUUUGGAAGGUACUAUGCACCCCGUUCAAGGUUUAUAGAAUUUGCACCAUCCUAUCACAGUUUGUUCUGAUGACAGAAUUGACCAGUUCUUCUUUGAGUAAAUUAAUAUUGCAACUGCUACUCCUUUGUGCAUUGUUACAUAGAGUUAUAGUU